rnacentral:rRNA from 1 species
UGGGGAAUCUUGGACAAUGGGGGCAACCCUGAUCCAGCCAUGCCGCGUGAGCGAUGAAGGCCUUAGGGUUGUAAAGCUCUUUCAGCGGGGAAGAUAAUGACGGUACCCGCAGAAGAAGCCCCGGCCAACUACGUGCCAGCAGCCGCGGUAAUACGUAGGGGGCGAGCGUUGUCCGGAAUUAUUGGGCGUAAAGCGUGCGCAGGCGGUUUUGUAAGUCUGUCGUGAAAUCCCCGGGCUCAACCUGGGAAUUGCGAUGGAGACUGCAAGGCUAGAAUCUGGCAGAGGGGGUAGAAUUCCACGUGUAGCAGUGAAAUGCGUAGAGAUGUGGAGGAACACCGAUGGCGAAGGCAGCCCCCUGGGUCAAGAUUGACGCUCAUGCACGAAAGCGUGGGGAGCAAACAGGAUUAGAUACCC